rnacentral:lncRNA from 1 species
CGGAUAGACCGGCGGUGUCCCAACCGUAGUCUCCGGGGUAUUCUCCGGUUAGGUACGACGGUGUGUUUUCUGAGAAUGGUCCUAAGUACUUGGGACGGUCUGGUCCGUACCUGUCACGUGUGGUUAAUGGUGAUUAGUUAGAUUAAAACUGAGGAAACAAAAAAAAACACGGAUUGAUCAUUUUGUCCGGAUAAACCGGUUUGAUGCGAUCCAGAAAACCGAACUGAGUUCAACACAUGAGCUUUAUUCAUUUUAAGAUAUUAAAAAAAAAGGAAAACCGGAGAGCGAGAUUGAGGAUGGAACCAAAUGCUCUGAGGAGUAGACUUGACGGUACGGCGCAUGACGACGCGGCCACCGCCGUUGGAAGCUCCAACUUUGCGGAGGAGAUCGUUGGAGGGCUUGAGGGCCGUUUGGCCGGCGAAUGAAGAGUGUUGGAUUGCUGACGUGGCCAUUCUUUGAAUCUGAGAUGAU